UAUUGGACAAUGGGCGAAAGCCUGAUCCAGCCAUGCCGCGUGUGUGAAGAAGGUCUUCGGAUUGUAAAGCACUUUAAGUUGGGAGGAAGGGCAGUUACCUAAUACGUGAUUGUUUUGACGUUACCGACAGAAUAAGCACCGGCUAACUCUGUGCCAGCAGCCGCGGUAAUACAGAGGGUGCAAGCGUUAAUCGGAAUUACUGGGCGUAAAGCGCGCGUAGGUGGUUAGUUAAGUUGGAUGUGAAAUCCCCGGGCUCAACCUGGGAACUGCAUUCAAAACUGACUGACUAGAGUAUGGUAGAGGGUGGUGGAAUUUCCUGUGUAGCGGUGAAAUGCGUAGAUAUAGGAAGGAACACCAGUGGCGAAGGCGACCACCUGGACUGAUACUGACACUGAGUGCGAAA
rnacentral:rRNA from 1 species